rnacentral:lncRNA from 1 species
UUUCCUCUUUGUGCUCAACAAGAGUUUUCCAAGGGAGGCUCUAGUUCAGGUUCUUGUGGCUGCUCUUCCUCCUGCUGGUCCUGCAGAUGGCCUGCUUUAAAGGUCAAAGUCUUUGUCUCUGCUAAGAGUAGGGAAGGAAGACUGGUGUUGCCCUAAGGACCUACCCCAAAGCCUGCCCCACAGAGGUGUCUAGAAGGCCCCUGUGGGCCAGAGCUCUCGGAUUAGGCUAAGCAGUAGACAGCACUUAAGCAGAACUCUAAAGAAAGGCAGUCUGGUGUGUCACUCCCACACCAUCUCUAUACAGCUGGUCCUUGAGAUUUGUUAAGGCAAUCCCCUAUUCCCAGUGCCAGCCUGGCACACUGACUGGUAAUCACUUAAGCUGAAAAGCACUUCCUUGCAGGGACAUUAGCAUUUCAACAGAGACAGGCAAGGCCACAUCAGGGCUGGCAGAGCUUCUGUUCAUGUUGGGGGUGGGGAUGGGGAGAUGAACCAGAGUUAACCAGGUGGGUGAUGUCCUUGCUAACACUCAGGGACUUCCCCUCUUUCCCACCAGAACCCUGCUUCCCUCUUCAUCAAACAAAACGGUUCUUGGUGACAUUUUGUCUUGAAGCUGUGAGCGCUAAAGCUCAGAAUUUAAAUUUGAACCACCAGGAGCCCUACCCAGCUCUGGAAGAUCCCAACCAGAGGUCAGGAGGCUCACAUGGCCUUCCCAGGCACUGCCAGUGCUCAGGAAUACUCAGCCCAUGAAGACCCACGGGAUACCCAUCUCUUGCAUGAAGCUCAGUUAUAGAGCAGCUGUUGACACACAUAAGGCACGAGCCACUGCCAAGGCAUCUGGGACUAUAGUCAAAUGCCCACGUUCAAACCUGGAACUAUUCAAUAUCAGACAAAGUGCCUCUGCCUCCUCCUUCCCGCCUUUCUUUUUCUUUCUUUUUGACUGCUUGAGAUAGGGUCUUGCUAUGUAGCCCAGGCUAACCUCCAACUCAAGAUUCUCUUGACUCAGACCCCAGAGAGUUGGGAUUAGCGCCCAUAGCUAAAUCUCUUAACCCUUCUGUGUCUCCACUUCCUCCUGUAUAAAACGGAGAUAACAACAUUACUUUGCAGGGCUGUGAUGACAACCAAAUGGGUUGAUAUAAGACAUUUUGCACAAUGGUUAGUUACUAUUGUUGACGUUGCGGUUUCCUGCUGCAGGGUUCCCUCUCUGUUGCCUGUUCAGAGCUUUGGUGGAUAAGAAAUCUAGAGGGAGGACCAAAGCCAGGGAGAGAUGGCCCAGUUAGGGGUAUAUUGCUUCCCAUUUCAGAAAAGUGGGCUUGCCAACCCAUCCCUUAGAAUGAUCCUCAUUCGCCUUCCUGUUUGAGCUACAUAUGUUCCUAAAAUAUUCUAGGAAAGUGAGCAUAACCCAGCCUAUCUGUGAGGGUCGGGAGUGUGGUCCAGCACCAGGGAGUUUACCUGGGUUCCAUUCCCAGCAUCCCUGAACAACAACAACAACAAACAACAACAACGGACCCCCUCCCAGCACUUCCAAACAACAACAGGGCCCCUCCUCUGACAUUCAGAGAUACCCCCUCCUCCUUUUCAUGAAUUUUCUAGCUGAACAUAUUUUCAGAAUUCCUAUAUAUCCGAUUCUAUCCCAGACCCACAAAGUGCUAAUAGGCACAAGGAGACUUUCGUCUGAGAAUUCUUGCAUUUGCAAAAGGAUGUAGGGGAAAUGAAAAUAGUCACUCUCCAAUUGCUGAGGUGCAGCAGGCUCUGGAUUGCUUAGACUGGGGUCCAUUUUAUACUGACACCUGUGUUGCAUCGUCCCACAGCUGCACACCCUUUGGCCUAGAAUGGCCUCUGCACAAGAUCUUUUAUUCUAUCUAUCUAUCUAUCUAUCUAUCUAUCUAUCUAUCUAUCUAUCUAGUUUUGUAACAGACCUCCCAAUUGUGGUUUUGCAGUCCAGAUAAUUGCUCCUUUAGGAAGUAGAACAAGGAAGACCACACAGCAGCCUCUGGUGUGCAAACCAUUCAUUCCUCAGCUCUAGGUCUCAGUUCUAGGUCUAUUCCUGGCUGUACAGAGACUGAAGGCUGCUGACUUUCUAGAAAUAUCUUCAGAGGGGUUCCUACACCAGAAAAAUGGGGCUCUGCACGGCACCCAAAAGGGUAAUAUUCUGAGUGCCAGGGAUAGACCAGAGCUCUGUCCUGACAGAAGCCAGGGAGAAGUAACAAGGUGGAGGGAUACAUUAGGGGUAUUCUGGGUACUAGAGAUAGAGGAUGGAUGAGAGGCUCUACACUUCUCUACCUGGCCCAAGGGCUCAGCCUCCGCAGGCAAAUGCUGCAGCCGAGUCCUGUCUCCCUUAGGAGAUCCCAGGAGCCUCACCAUCUUGGUAAAGGGAUCAGCUGUAUCAAUUGAUGUGGACCUAUUAUGAGUGGAAUCACCAGUGGGUUCCUAGUCAAACCACAGGCCAGCCCUGUCACUGAGAACUGUCCCCUGAGCUGGCACCGCCAACUGUCUUCCCCUCAGUGCCAAUUCCACCUCCGGCGCCGAGGCUACAAAAUCUCAGAGGAACAGAGCAAUAAGGGUCUUACGCAUCUCUGUACAUUCCAUCACUCUUUGGCUGGUGGGCUCGGUGAGCGAGGGCGAAAGGGUUCUGAGCUCUCUCGGGACGAGUGAGACAAAUACAUAGCCCAGAUGUCACCUUCAGUCCCGAGAGAGUUUUCCGGGAGAGCUUGUAGUGGGGGAGGGAGGCAGCCCCUGGGCUAAGAUCCAGCCCAGCUGGGCAGGUGGUCACAGCUGCGGGGAUGUGGAGGGGCGUGCGGGGCGCGACACUCACGUCCUCUUGAAGACACCCCCGAGGGCGCUGCCCAGCAGGAGGCAGAGCUGCUGCGAGAAGAAGACCCAGGAGAUCUGGGGCAACGAGCUGUGCGUCUGGCAGCGCAGGUCCAGAAGCGUGGGCCCCAGGAAGGCGAUGCACAGGCCG